rnacentral:rRNA from 1 species
AGACCCGAAACCCGGUGAUCUAGCCAUGGGCAGGUUGAAGGUUGGGUAACACUAACUGGAGGACCGAACCGACUAAUGUUGAAAAAUUAGCGGAUGACCUGUGGCUGGGGGUGAAAGGCCAAUCAAACCGGGAGAUAGCUGGUUCUCCCCGAAAGCUAUUUAGGUAGCGCCUCGUGAAUUCAUCUCCGGGGGUAGAGCACUGUUUCGGCUAGGGGGCCAUCCCGGCUUACCAACCCGAUGCAAACUGCGAAUACCGGAGAAUGUUAUCACGGGAGACACACGGCGGGUGCUAACGUCCGUCGUGAAGAGGGAAACAACCCAGACCGCCAGCUAAGGUCCCAAAGUCAUGGUUAAGUGGGAAACGAUGUGGGAAGGCCCAGACAGCCAGGAUGUUGGCUUAGAAGCAGCCAUCAUUUAAAGAAAGCGUAAUAGCUCACUGGUCGAGUCGGCCUGCGCGGAAGAUGUAACGGGGCUAAACCAUGCACCGAAGCUGCGGCAGCGACGCUGAUGCGUUGUUGGGUAGGGGAGCGUUCUGUAAGCCUGCGAAGGUGGCCUGUGAGGGUUGCUGGAGGUAUCAGAAGUGCGAAUGCUGACAUAAGUAACGAUAAAGCGGGUGAAAAGCCCGCUCGCCGGAAGACCAAGGGUUCCUGUCCAACGUUAAUCGGGGCAGGGUGAGUCGACCCCUAAGGCGAGGCCGAAAGGCGUAGUCGAUGGGAAACGGGUUAAUAUUCCCGUACUUGGUGUUACUGCGAAGGGGGGACGGAGAAGGCUAUGUUGGCCGGGCGACGGUUGUCCCGGUUUAAGCGUGUAGGUGUGUGUUCCAGGUAAAUCCGGUUCACUUUAACACUGAGGCGUGAUGACGAGGCACUACGGUGCUGAAGCAACAAAUGCCCUGCUUCCAGGAAAAGCCUCUAAGCAUCAGGUAACAUCAAAUCGUACCCCAAACCGACACAGGUGGUCAGGUAGAGAAUACCAAGGCGCUUGAGAGAACUCGGGUGAAGGAACUAGGCAAAAUGGUGCCGUAACUUCGGGAGAAGGCACGCUGACACGUAGGUGAAGUGAUUUACUCAUGGAGCUGAAGUCAGUCGAAGAUACCAGCUGGCUGCAACUGUUUAUUAAAAACACAGCACUGUGCAAACACGAAAGUGGACGUAUACGGUGUGACGCCUGCCCGGUGCCGGAAGGUUAAUUGAUGGGGUCAGCGCAAGCGAAGCUCCUGAUCGAAGCCCCGGUAAACGGCGGCCGUAACUAUAACGGUCCUAAGGUAGCGAAAUUCCUUGUCGGGUAAGUUCCGACCUGCACGAAUGGCGUAAUGAUGGCCAGGCUGUCUCCACCCGAGACUCAGUGAAAUUGAACUCGCUGUGAAGAUGCAGUGUACCCGCGGCAAGACGGAAAGACCCCGUGAACCUUUACUAUAGCUUGACACUGAACAUUGAGCCUUGAUGUGUAGGAUAGGUGGGAGGCUUUG